UGCGUAGGCGGUUUGAUAAGUCAGUUGUGAGAUUCCCCGGCUUAACCGGCGGGACUGCGAUUGAUACUGUCAAACUUGAAUCAGGUUGAGGUAGGCGGAAUGUGGCAUGUAGCGGUGAAAUGCAUAGAUAUGCCAUAGAACACCGAUUGCGAAGGCAGCUUGCUGGACCUUGAUUGACGCUGAGGCACGAAAGCGUGGGGAGCGAACAGGAUUAGAUACCCUGGUAGUCC
rnacentral:rRNA from 1 species